UUGAGAACGUGCACAAAGCUUUGCCCAAUGUGGACACACAGGGUUACAGCUCAACCUCUAAAAUCCCAUAUCUGGCUGAGGAGACUGUGGAUCAUCCAGAACAUCACCAGUG